UGGUGCGAUCAUACCAGCGUUAAUGCACCGGAUCCCAUCAGAACUCCGUAGUUAAGCGCGCUUGGGCUAGAGUAGUACUGGGAUGGGUGACCUCCCGGGAAGUCCUAGUGUUGCACCCU
rnacentral:rRNA from 1 species